ACCUCUAGCUCCCAAAAUGGUCCAACACCUGUUUUUAGAUUAGAAAAACAUUUACUUUACACUUAUGGACCACUUGUAAGUUGUCACAACUCAAAACAAAGUCCCUUAAUUAUUUCGUCCCUAGCUAUAAAUCUUUCAAAUCAUUCACUCCUUCAAACAUAUAUUUCUUAGCUCAUAUAAAUGGAAGCACCUCAAGUUGAAGCCAUGGAAACCACAAGAAACAAUCCACCAGAGGAUGACGAACAAGACAAUAUCAUCGAUACUUGUUGUUCAUGCUUAUACGAUUGCACCGCGACUUUCUUGGACUACUUGUUUUGCGGUCUAUGUUAGAUUAUUUCCUAUCGGCAUAUAUGGCAUCAAUCUUCUUUUGUUACCUUUAAAAAAAAAAAAGAAGAUGUUUUGCUACGAUCAAUACAAGUUGGAGAGAUUAACAUUUUUAUUUUUCCUUCAA